rnacentral:rRNA from 1 species
UACGGGGGGGGCAAGCGUUGUUCGGAAUUACUGGGCGUAAAGGGCUCGUAGGCGGCCAACUAAGUCGGAUGUGAAAUCCCCAGGCUCAACCUGGGAACUGCAUCCGAUACUGGAUGGCUUGAAUUCGGGAGAGGGAUGCAGAAUUCCAGGUGUAGCGGUGAAAUGCGUAGAUAUCGGGAGGAACACCAGUGGCGAAGGCGACUACCUGGCCUGUUCUUGACGCUGAGGCGCGAAAGCUAGGGGAGCGAACAGG